UACGGAGGGGGCUAGCGUUGUUCGGAAUUACUGGGCGUAAAGCGCACGUAGGCGGCUUGGUAAGUUAGAGGUGAAAGCCCAGGGCUUAACCCUGGAAUUGCCUUUAAGACUGCAUCGCUAGAAUCGUGGAGAGGUAAGUGGAAUUCCGAGUGUAGAGGUGAAAUUCGUAGAUAUUCGGAAGAACACCAGUGGCGAAGGCGACUUACUGGACACGUAUUGACGCUGAGGUGCGAAAGCGUGGGGAGCAAACAGG
rnacentral:rRNA from 1 species